AUUCACUGUGGACUUUACUGAGAUCAUCACCCAAAAAGGGGAAUAAAGCAGCAUGACAUUUAAUAGUGGGUCUAGGUUCUACCCCAGGCACCUAAAAUUAACUUCCUGAUACAUGGUGGAAUGGCUCAGCAGAGAAGAGAAUGCAUAAUUGUAGCCAGCAAGUUCACUUCCUUCUGGUGUGCAUUUUCCAAGGCCGAGAUGUUGGGCUGCUUUUCGACUGCACCAUAUAAAAUAACAAACACGCAGUCUAAGGAAAACAAUUUUUAAGACACCGUGGAAUCCACUUUAAUGAAGAAAACAGUUAAAGGCAUAAAAAACCCCAUGUGCCAAUGGCUAA